CCUACGGGAGGCAGCAGUGGGGAAUAUUGCACAAUGGGGGAAACCCUGAUGCAGCGACGCCGCGUGAGUGAAGAAGUAUUUCGGUAUGUAAAGCUCUAUCAGCAGGGAAGAAAAUGACGGUACCUGAGUAAGAAGCCCCGGCUAACUACGUGCCAGCAGCCGCGGUAAUACGUAGGGGGCAAGCGUUAUCCGGAUUUACUGGGUGUAAAGGGAGCGUAGACGGUGAUGCAAGUCAGAAGUGAAAGCCCGGGGCUCAACUCCGGGACUGCUUUUGAAACUGUGUGACUGGAGUGCAGGAGAGGUAAGCGGCAUUCCUGGUGUAGCGGUGAAAUGCGUAGAUCUCAGGAGGAACACCAGUGGCGCAGGCGGCUUACUGGACUGUAACUGACGUUGAGGCUCGAAAGCGUGGGGAGCAAACAGGAUUAGAUACCCGAGUAGUC
rnacentral:rRNA from 1 species